rnacentral:rRNA from 1 species
UAAUUGUGGUAAAAUUAAACUUUAUUUUUUAUAUUUUUCUUUUUUUUGGUAGAAUGAGAAAGGUUUUAUAUUUUUUUGUUUAAUUUGUAAGAUUUAAUAAGCGAACCAGAUUAGUACCUGGUUAGAUAAAAUUUAAAAGUGCAGGAGUAAAGUUAUAUUUAAACUGUAAAGAUAUUGGCAGGUCUCUUAAAUUAUCUUUGGAGGUUGGGUAAUAAUUGAGAACCCUCAUUUUCAGCUUUUUUUUUUGGCGCAUGUAUGAUCGUUUAUUUUAUUCUUAAAGAUUGUAAUUARAAAUAAUUCUUUAAAAAAAUARAUAAAUACCUGGUUUAUAAAAAAGUUUUAAUCUGACCUACAAUAUUUUAUAUUUUGGAUUUAUUUUUUUGAGAAUUUAAUGAAAUUGUAAAAGACAGUAAAUUAAUUUUGAUAUUUAAUUGAAGUUUAUCUAGAGRCGGUACAAAUCAUC